rnacentral:rRNA from 1 species
CAGAGUUCAUGCCCUGCUAUAGGGUAGAUCUCCCACCCUUGUGUAUUAUAACCAAACGUUGCCUCCGGGGCUCCGGCCCCGGAUGGACCCCUAAACUCUGUGUGUUAGUGUCGUCUGAGUACUAUACAAUCGUUAAAACUUUCAACAACGGAUCUCUUGGUUCUGGCAUCGAUGAAGAACGCAGCGAAAUGCGAUAAGUAAUGUGAAUUGCAGAAUUCAGUGAAUCAUCGAAUCUUUGAACGCACAUUGCGCCCCUUGGUAUUCCGAGGGGCAUGCCUGUUCGAGCGUCAUUAUACCCCAUCUAGCCCUGCUAGGGACUGGGCUUCGCGGUUCCGCGGGCCUUAAAAUCAGUGGCGGUGCUCUCAAGCUCUACGCGUAGUAAUUCUUCUCGCUCUAGGGUCUUGGGGGACACCUGCCAGAACCUUACUUCUAGGU